rnacentral:lncRNA from 1 species
CAAAAAUCCAUGACUUAACAUUUGACUUGUGAGCUACGACAGAAGUCUGAUGAAAAAACAGAUGUGUAGCCUAUCAAAAUUCCUCACAGAUUUCCAGAAGUACUGACUCAUCUCAUCUCAUAGAAGCCAAUUCAUCCCCAGUGGGAUUUCUAUAGUGCCACCAGCGUUUAUGUAUCUAAUCUAUUCACAUAAGAUUGGUUCCAGGAGAACAUGUUACCUGCUGGGACUUCCCACACAUUUCAGGUGAGAUCAGGUGCUAAACAGUCUGCACGGCAAGGAACCUGACUGCACUCAAUGAAAUUAAUCAUGGCGUGUAAAGUUAAGCAGGAAUGGGCCCUUUGUUUCUUACCCUGAUGUUCAGUUCCGGAGCAGUGGUUCUGAAUCCUCCGGAGGACUUAACAGAAAGUUGAAGCAAGGCAUUAUUAAAUUAAAAGGCUGCAAUCCGCAGCAAGACGACCUAAGCAGGACUCUGCGGUACGUGCCUGUUCAUUUUAAUGCGCCAUCUCCAAAGUACAGAACUCUGGACCUUUCUAGCAUCAUAUUUAAUACAUGGUACAUUUACAAAUACGUGACCUGACGCAUUAAUGGAGCAAAUUAAGUUACAGGUAUGAAUUUUACAUAAAACGGAUUAAUAUUAUAUGUCAUGGAGGAAUUUUAAAUACUCCGUCGCCAUGCAUUUUUAAUGGUUAUGGGCUCUAAUUUAAUGUUCCAACGCAACUGUUUUUUUUUUUCU